CUCCGGACCCCAGGGGCGGAAGUAAAAGCCAUCUACAGCGGAUGGGUGCAGUUCAGGAGACAGCUGUUCUCCAGCCUUUCUGGAGGGAUGCAGAGCCUUUCCUUAAGACAAACAAGAAAAUACUGGUCUGAUUUCCAGCUGAUGCAUUCUGCCCCUUUGUUCCAGUAGAGGUUACUCGAGCAUCUGGAAGAGAGAACAGGCUGUUGAACUAUGCAAGCCUUUGCUUAGGGAGCAACUUUCGAAGUAAAUGAUGAUGCCAGAUUUGGAAGAAUUCUAGAGGCAUGUGUUUUGGGAGCAGCAUGGAUGAGAAUCAGAGUGGAUCUGCAGACUGCAGGACAUUACAACUUCUCCUCUUCUGUUGUGCUGUGUCAACCACCAAAUUGUGCCAGCUGAGAAUUGUGGUCUCAAGUCUCUAUCCAGAUCUUUGAUUGUGUGGCCACAUGAACACCAGCAUGGAGGCAUAAGCUUUCCCUCUGAGGGUCUCAGGAAGACCACCAAACAUCAGGGGAAACCGAAGCUGAGGUCUACAUGCAACAGUCUUUGAAGAGCAUGAGAACACACUGAGACCAGCAGAAAGUGCAUCGCCUUCGAAACAAAUUGGCCCUCGUCUACAAAGGUUUCUUUUUUGUACUCUCGCAAACUCAUUUUUAAUGGCUUGUGCGGCAUCAGUUGUGCCCUUGAGCUGUAAUGAAGGGCUCUGCAAGUCACCACAAGCGAGUCAGAAAUGAAUCUCACGGAGAGGAAAAUGCUGGAACGUUAAUAGGUUUUAAUCUAAGGUAAGCAAACCUACUGAGCCACCACCAUAUGCUUUAUAAAAAUCUAAAUGUCAUGAAAUUUUCAGCAGUCUUCCCUUGCCUGCAAAUCAGGUUUGGUCCACAGACAGCCAAGUAGGGAUCAGAAGGGAAAAAUCUCAAAUGCGCAUAACUGCCCAGGAGCACACCUUGAGGAGUUUACAAGCACCAUCCAGGCAAAACAAAGAAAUAAUUGAUGGAGCACAGGAAAAACUGGCGGCUGUGUCGGGCAGGCAUCGGAACAGCCUGUGAGUGUGGCAGACAUCUUGCAAUAUAUUUGAUCCUAUCUUCAAUACCUUGGGUGGAGAAGGGGUGUUGAAAUCUGACGGUCUCUGUUACAUGGGGUUUCCCCUUAGGUUUUUAUUUAAGUGGAAAAGCAGUGUUUGUAUAUUUUAAUUUAUUAGAUGGAUCCUAGCCAAUUUACAGAGUGAGAUUUAAUUGCUAAACACCCAAUUUUAAAGUUCAUUUUCUGCAGUGCCUUGGCAGCUUUUGAUAGAUGUUUGUUCAGAAAAUAACAAUCUCUGAAUAUUAAAGUAAAAUAAAUUGGUUUUUAAACUGGUGAGCCUUUCUGCUUAUGUGGGAAUUUGGAGGUGUACCUUGAAUUUUCCUCCUCUGCCAGGUGGGUGACAAUGAAAUACAGAGAUAGACUCAGGGCCACACCUUCAGGGUCUUUGGGCCAAGGGUCUCCCUUUCAAGGGUCCUUGGGGCCAGCAGAUCCUCUUUCAAGUGUCUUGUUAGAUGUGUUAAUUGCUAUAAUAACUACAGGGAUGUUCCAGAUACUUGAGAUAGGAUCUCUUCUCUCUUAUGGAAUGCAAAAUGUGUCCCCAAUUAUAAUGCAACAGAUUCAAUUAAGCAAAGUUAUAGAAAUGUUGAAGCCCUGCAAAUGAAAGUUUAAGAUUUAGCUGUCUUUCCAAGUUUGCAUUAAGACAUCUUUGCAAAGCUUACUACUUUAUGCAAGCCAUGAUUCCAAGGAUCUUAUGGCUUUAAUACUCAUAAUACCUUAUGAAGUAGGUACUGUUAUCACAUCUGUUUUAAAGGAGGAAACAGAGGCACAGGGAGUUUCAUUAGUUGGUCCAGGGUCACACAGCUCAUAGGGGGCAUGAGUACAAUUUGAAUCCAGGCAGUCUGUCUCUGGAGCCUCUGUGUGUUCCUAACCACUCUGCCAUACAACUUCUCAGAGCAAGUAGCAUAAAUAUAUCCACUUAAUACUGUAUUGCAGAAACUGUAGACCUCUUAUGUUGAAUUUUCUGAUUCUCUCAGCCUAUGAAUAACUUGCAACUAUUCACAGUCCAAUGGGUAAGUGCACUCUAUGAUUCUCUAUAGAUACCUCCUGUCCAGAUUGAGCCUCCUCUAUAUAAUGAGAAUGUUGGUCCUGCUAAUAUUUUAUAAAAAUUGAAGCUACAGAUGAGUCUUAGGUCAUUGCCAGAAGUUCUACUAUCCUGGGACAUGGUGGGAGAGUCAGGAUAAGGAAUAAAACAACAUUGAAUGUGUCUUUCCUAAAACCUACCAGAUUAUAAAUUUGGGACAGUCACCAGUAGUCUCAGUGACAGAUCUCCAUCUUGUGGCUUUGGAAAGCAGAAGAAAUGGGAGGAGAAAGAUGAUUCAGAAGGCUUAGGGUAAUGCCUCUCACACUUCAGUGUGCUUUUGAAUCUCCCAGAUAUCUUAUUAAAAUGUAGAUUCUUUUUUGUAGGUCUGGGUUGGGGCCAGAAAUUCUAAAUUUCUAACAAACUUCUAGGGAUUGCUGAUGCUACUGGCCCAUAGACCAUAUUUGGGGGACAAGGAUCUAGAAUAGACCAGCAUCAUCACAGUCACCUGGAAGCUCAUUAGAAAUGCAGAUUCCUGGGUUCUACUCCAGGCCCACUGAAUCAGAAUCUACAUUUCCAAGUGGUUUAUAUGCACUUUAAUUGUUUAAGAAACACGAGUCUAGAGUAGUCUUCUAACCAUGAAGAUGCACAUAACCAAUUAGACACACUUGUAGAUGAAUUGGCUAUGGUGGGAGAGAAGAUGGAGAGAGUAUAAAGUUCCCAUUAAAAGUUUCAUUCAAGACUUUCAAAUGUCUCUUUUCUUUGUGAUCACUUGAAUAGCUGAAAAAGUCCCUGAAAUACCUCAUUCAAAGCUUAUUUGCAAAAGUCUGGAGAAUCUUUUCAUUUUAGAGGUGUUAUUCAACUCAAAUUGUUUCUCCUUUAGGGGUCUAUAACUCAACCACUUGAAUAUUUUAAAAUUUAGAAGGACAGGUCUUUCCCACCAAUAUCUGUCUCUGAAUGGCAUAGUCCUAAGUUUGAGUUGCCAGCAGAAUGGACUGUGGCACUGUCAGCCCAGACUAGGGAUGAUCAUAGAUACCUUACCCCACCCAGAGAAGCCAUUGGGACUUGCACCCAACCCUGACCCUUCCUGCAUCAGUGCCCAGGCCCCUUUGGGGGUGAGUGGAAUGCGGUGGAAGUGGCGGAGAGUAAAGCCAGGUUGUCUGGGGGCACCGGGAGACAAGGAACAGUGAGGACUGAGAACCAUCCUUGUAGGGUGGAGAGGUAGCAGGAGGCAGGGCUACACCAAGGCUUCAAGCCCACAAACCAUGCUCCAUUGUCCUGUUGAAUUUCACUUACAAAACACAAAUUCAAAGAUGAAAUCAGAGUAUUAAACCCUCAGGGCAGGGCUCUUCUGAGCGCAGGGCCCUGUGUAACUGCAGUGGUCAUGCUCAUGAAGCGGGCACUGACUCUGGACAUUGCCUGCUAUCUUUGUGUUUUCAGAAUUUAUUCACUCUUGCUUUUGCUCAGUCUAUAUGAAAAACUAAAUAAUGUUUAUGCUAAUCUGAUAGUCCAAUGCAGCGAUCCUCCAACCCUGGGCCUGGACUAGCAGCAUAAGCAUCCCUGGAAAACUUAUUAGAAAUGCAGAUUUGGGGUCUCUAUCUCAAAGUAUGGAAACAGAAUCUCUAGGGGAUGGAGUCUAAUAACCUGUGGCUUUGACAAACCCUCCUGAUGAUUCUGAAGCAUGCCAAAGUUUGAGAGUUUGUUGUUUGUUUUUGCUUUUAUAAAAUCACAAAUUAUUUCUGCAGAAUUCCCAACAAUAUUUGGAGGUGACAGUAGCAUCAAUUUGUGGGCCCCAUAGGUAUUCCCUACUCUUGCCAGUUUUCUUCCAGUGGGAAAAAAAUUUGUUGCAGCACCUGCUGCAUGGGACACUUGAGUUGAAGUGUUCCUAAUAGUUGCUUGGAGAUGGUGGGAGGGCUUACAUAUUAAAGGAAAUUCAGGUAUGGGUUAGAGAGACAGAGAACCCUUAGCACAGUGGCUUUGGGCUCCAAGACACCCAACACAAAGAAAUCCUAGUUCUCUUUCUAACCAGUUCAGUGGUGAGACCUUAAGGAAAUUAUUUACUUUUUUCUGAUCCCACUGGGAACAGUAUCUUCAGCCAUAAAAUGGAGAUAAUAAUGGUGAUAUCUACUUCAUGGGGUUCUUGUGAGGUUUGACUGAGCUCAUGAGUGAAAGUCCUUAUCAUACUGCUGGCACAACAAAUGGAAGCUGUUAUUCCGGACAUAAAAUUAUUGUGCACUGAUCUAAUCAUAUGAUGCACUUAUGUAUCUAUGAAUUUUAUUGGUAAUAAUGAUUAUUUGAUAUAAAUUGAAACAUCUUAUUUCCAUAAAGGUCACUGGAAUAUAUAUGUGUUUGUGUAUAUAUGUGUAUAUAUAUAUAUAUACACGUAUAUACACAUACACACACAUAUAAAUGUGAAUCAGAACAAUUCUCUUAUGGGAUCAUUUUUCUUUCCUUUUUUCAUAUUUUCAAUAGAUAUAUCGUGGUUGUAGAUAUUUUGGAAUAUAUAUAUAUAAUAUUUUGAUGCAUGUAUACAAUGUGCCACGAUCAAAUCAGGGUAAUUGAGAUACCUAUCACCUCAAACAUUGAUCUUUUCUUUGUGUUGAGAACAUUACAAAUUUUUCUCUUCCAGCUAUUUUGAAAUAUACAAUAAAUUAUUGUUAACCGUAAUUUUCCUACUAUACUGUCAAAUACAAGAACAUACCCCUUCUGUCAAACUAUUUUGUAAACAUUAAUCAACUUCUCUUCAUCAUUCCUCCCCCUUCUCUUCCCAGCCUCUGGAAUGGAUCAUUCUACUCUCAACCUCCAUGAGAUGUACUUUUUAAGCUCCCACAUAUGAGUGAGAAAAGCGAUUUUGUCUUUCUCUGCCUAGCUUAUUUUACUUUUUUUCUUUUCUUAGGGGGCUUCCGUAGAUUCUACCUGGCUUGCUGGAGGCUUUAGCUUUCUUCUUUCCAGGACUGGAAACUCAGUUCUUCCCAGCAUUAGCUUUGCUUCUGUGCUAAGCAUAAAUCAUUGGAAUUUCAUAAGCUUUCUUUCUCUUAGCACUCAUACACUUUGUAAAUCAAUUAUUUGCAAAGUAAAAAGGACUCCCUUCAGUAAAUAUUUGCAAGGCAGGUCUGUCUUCCCCUGCUUUCCGAGCAGGGGCAAAGACUCCCUCUAAUCCUGGCAUUGAGGAGGAUGGUGGAAUAUCGAUUUGCUGCCUGCUAUUUGCUCCAUCAUCACAUCAGUUAUAGGGGAAGUAGAAUUAUUCCUCCUCGGAUAUGUGGGCCUUUCUUUGUGUUUGGGUCUAAAAACCAACUCCAGGCUAAUUGUAUUCUUCUUAUUGAAUAAUAAAUGAAGAUCAAGGUCUGUUCGACUCUGAAUACAGCAAGUCAACUGGACUGUGAGUUGAGUAUUGAGGCCAAGAGGCUUUUUCUGCAAACACACACUGCUUUUUGAUUAAAAACCAACCACAUAAAAGCAACAAAAAAUAACCUGAACCCCAAGUGAUUCAACAGGGAAAGAAUACUCUCUUUAGGGACUUUGGAUCCCAGGUGGCAUGCAUCUGGAUGCUUUUAGCAUUGCGGGACUUGAAUGCUAAGGGCUGAAAACAUUUAUACCCAGCUCUUCCUGGUAUUGAUUUCCCUCAUACUGAUUUAGUGUGGGGCCUCUUGGUGUCUCUCUACUGCUUCUAGCAGCUGAGUUUUGGCCCCAAAGGGCUUUAUUUAAUGAAAACUUGGGGCUUAUACUGUGAGAAAGAUGCCCCAGGAAUUGAAGUUGUAGACAUCCCAAUGGAGAAAACAUCAAGACAAGAGUCAUGUGCUGUGCAGUGGAUGAGAUGAUGAUAUGAAGCCGCCACUAAAGGAUGUUUUAAAGAGAAGAGGGAGCAGCAACCUUCAAAUGACUGUUGAGAGUUAAAAGAAGCUCUUAUUACUGAAAAAUAAAGUACUUACAUGAAAUAUGUGCAGAAGUUGCACUGGGAGAGGGAUCAGAAGAGGAGGGGAGCCACAUAUUAGAAUCUUGGAGAAGACUGUCUGGCUACGUAUUAGAGCCACUUACAGACAACCAUGGCCAUUGGGGAGAGUUAAACAGGGUAUGCUUUAAAAAUAAAACUUUUAUUUUAGAACAGUUUUAGAUUUACAGAAAAAUAGUGAAGAUAGUACAUGGACUUCCCAUACAUCCCACAUCCAGUUUCCCUUAUUGGUAACAUCAUAAUGAUUAUUUGUUACAAUUAAUAGACCAUGUAUAUUUGUUACAAUUAGUAAAUCAGUAUUGACAAAUUAUUAUGAACUAAAGUUCAUAUGUUAUUCAGAUUUCCUUCAUUUUUAUCUGAUGUUCUUUUUCCAUUCCAGGAUUUGAUUCAUAUUCCAUUAUCUCCUUAGUAUCCUCUGGUCUGUGACAGUUUUCCAAACCCUGCUUGUUUUUGAUGACCUUCACAACUUGCAGAAGUAUUGGUCAGGCUUUAGUCAAAUUUCCCUCACGUGGUGACACAGGAUUUGUCUCACACUUUUCUCAUUAUUAGACUGGAGUUACGUGUUUUUCUGCGGAAGACCAUAUAGGUAAAGCGCCAUUUCCAUCAUGUCAUUUCAAGUGUCCAUAUUAUCCACAUGACUUGUAACUGUUGAUGGAACAGGAACAUUUUUAAUGGGAGACUGAAUUGCAACAGAUGUUGAGUGUUGGGAAUUAAGAACAUUACGGAUCGAGACCAUCCUGGCUAACACGGUGAAACCCCGUCUCUACUAAAAAUACAAAAAAUUAGCUGAGCAUGGUGGCGGGCGCCUGUAGUCCCAGCUACUCGGGAGGCUGAGGCAGGAGAAUGGCGUGAACCCAGGAGGUGGAGCUUGCAGUGAGCCGAGAUAGCGCCACUGCACUCCUGCCUGGGCGAAAGAGCGAGACUCCUUCUCAGAAAAAAAAAAAAAAAAAAAAAAAAAAAAGGAACAUUUUACUCCUCAAAUGUGGUAUAUUUCAGUUAGUGUUGCUUCUCACAAAAUAAGAAAUGGUCAAAACAAAACAAGUGAAGCAGUGGUAAAACUUAUUUGUUUUUUUCUUGUAAAUUUGUUUGAGUUCAUUGUAGAUUCUGGAUAUUAGCCCUUUGUCAGAUGAGUAGGUUGCGAAAUUUUUCUCCCAUUUUGUAGGUUGCCUGUUCACUCUGAUGGUAGUUUCUUUUGCUGUGCAGAAGCCCUUUAGUUUAAUUAGAUCCCAUUUGUCAAUUUUGGCUUUUGUUGCCAUUGCUUUUGAUGUUUUAGACAUGAAGUCCUUGCCCAUGCCUAUGUCCUGAAUGGUAUUGCCUAGGUUUUCUUCUAGGGUUUUUAUGGUUUCAGGUCUAACAUGUAAGUCUUUAAUCCAUCUUGAAUUAAUUUUUGUAUAAGGUGUAAGGAAGGGAUCCAGUUUCAGCUUCUACAUAUGGCUAGCCAGUUUUCCCAGCACCAUUUAUUAAAUAGGGAAUCCUUUCCCCGUUGCUUGUUUUUGUCAGGUUUGUCAAAGAUCAGAUAGUUGUACCCAUCAAAAAGUGGGCAAAGGACAUGAACAGACACUUCUCAAAAGAAGACAUUUAUGCAGCCAAAAAACACAUGAAAAAAUGCUCAU